rnacentral:rRNA from 1 species
AGCCUUCAGCUCGUCCAAGUAUUGAAGGUGAUGCCUGCCCAGUGACAUCGUUUAACGGCCGCGGUAUCCUAACCGUGCGAAGGUAGCGCAAUCAAUUGUCUCAUAAAUCGAGACUUGUAUGAAUGGCUAAACGAGGUCCUAACUGUCUCUUACAGACAAUCAGUGAAAUUGAUCUUCCUGUGCAAAAGCAGGGAUAUAUUCAUAAGACGAGAAGACCCUGUGGAACUUAAAAAUCAGCGGCCACCGCACACAACACAAAGCCUACCAGGCCCACUACCACCAAAGCAUUGGCUCGUAUUUUUUGGUUGGGGCGACCUUGGAGGAAAAUAGAUCCUCCAAAAACAAGACCACAUAUCUUAACCAAGAGCAACCCCUCAACGUACUAAUAGUAACCAGACCCAAUACAAUUGACCAAUGGACCAAGCUACCCCAGGGAUAACAGCGCAAUCUCCUUCAAGAGCCCGUAUCGACAAGGAGGUUUACGACCUCGAUGUUGGAUCAGGACACCCUAAUGGUGCAGCCGCUAUUAAGGGUUCGUUUGUUCAACGAUUAAUAGUCCU